rnacentral:rRNA from 1 species
ACGGGGGGUGCAAGCGUUGUUCGGAAUUACUGGGCGUAAAGCGCGUGUAGGCGGCUUGCCAAGUCAGGUGUGAAAGCCUGGGGCUUAACCCCAGAAGUGCGCUUGAAACUAGCAGGCUAGAGUGCGGUAGAGGGAAGGGGAAUUCCUGGUGUAGAGGUGAAAUUCGUAGAUCUCAGGAGGAAUACCGGCGGCGAAGGCGCCUUCCUGGACCGUAACUGACGCUGAGACGCGAAAGCGUGGGGAGCAAACAG